CAUGUAGGCGGUUUUGCAAGCUUGAUGUGAAAGGCAGGGGCUCAACCCCUGGACUGCGUUGAGAACUGCAUGACUAGAGUAACUGAGGGGCAGCCGGAAUUCCAGGUGUAGGGGUGAAAUCUGUAGAUAUCUGGAAGAACACCAAUGGCGAAGGCAGGCUACCAGCAGAUUACUGACGCUGAGGUGCGAAGGUGCGGGGAGCAAACA
rnacentral:rRNA from 1 species